ensembl:lncRNA
CCCUGCUGUCCCGGCCUCUGCCUGUGUGCACCCUGCUCUCCCGGCCUCUGCCUGUGUGUGUGUGCGCCCUGCUCUCCCUGCCUCUGCCUGUGUGUGUGUGUGCCCUGCUCUCCCGGCCUCUGCCUGUGUGUGUGUGUGCCCUGCUCUCCCUGCCUCUGCCUGUGUGUGUGUGUGCCCUGCUCUCCCGGCCUCUGCCUGUGUGUGUGCGCCCUGCUGUCCCGGCCUCUGCCUGUGUGUGUGUGCACCCUGCUCCCCCGGCCUCUGCCUGUGUGUGUGUGUGCGCCCUGCUCCCCCGGCCUCUGCCUGUGUGUGUGUGUGCGCCCUGCUCCCCCGGCCCCUGCCUGUGUGUGUGUGCGCCCUGCUCCCCCGGCCUCUGCCUGUGUGUGUGUGUGCCCUGCUCCCCCGGUGUGGUUCCUCCCACUUGGCAGUUUGCUUUCCCAGGCUCCAGCCCUGAGUCAGAGCCCCUGAGUCAGAACUGGCCCCGGGCUCCCUCGCUGCGCCCUCACUUGGGCGCUCUCCCUCCACGAAGCCGCCCCCCCCCCCUCGUUCUAUUCCUGGCCACCCCGGCUUCCUCCAGCGGGGUGUGGCAGGGAGCACUGAGUCACGGAGCAAAAAAAGUCUGCUGCCCCGGGGCCUGGCCUCACCCCUGGCCUGUGGCGGCAGGUCUGGCCCGUGUCCCGCGCGUUUCUGGUCUUGGCGGCAGGGCCCGUGGCUCCCCAUGGCUGAUGGGGCACAUGUGUGGAGUUGUCCUGGGGUUCAUGGAUGAGCCGGAAACCCAAGAGAAGUGACACACGCCCGGGGCAGUGAGGACACCACCAGGAUGCCCAUGUCCCGUGUCUAGCCGCCUGGGUCGAGUCCUGGCUCCGGCUCCCUAGUCCAGCUUCCUGCUUCCCUGUCACCCACGUACAAAUAGAGAGAGAAGAGAAAGAUACCUACCGUCCAUCAGCUAGUUCACUCCUCCAACGGCUAAACCAAGACCCAGGGACUGCCUCCGGGUCUCCCACGUGGGCCCAGGGACUGCCUCCGGGUCGCCCACGUGGGCCCAGGGACUGCCUCCGGGUCUCCCGCGUGGGCCCAGGAACUGCCUCCGGGUCUCCCGCGUGGGCCCAGGAACUGCCUCCAGGUCUCCCACGUGGGCCCAGGAACUCCACCCAGGUUGCCCACGUGGGCCCAGGAACUCCACCCAGGUUGCCCACGUGGGCCCAGGAACUGCCUCCGGGUCUCCCGCGUGGGCCCAGGGACUGCCUCCGGGUCUCCCGCGUGGGCCCAGGGACUGCCUCCGGGUCGCCCACGUGGGCCCAGGAACUCCACCCAGGUUGCCCACGUGGGCCCAGGGACUGCCUCCGGGUCUCCCGCGUGGGCCCAGGGACUGCCUCCGGGUCUCCCACGUGGGCCCAGGGACUGCCUCCGGGUCGCCCACGUGGGCCCAGGAACUGCCUCCGGUCUCCCACGUGGGCCCAGGAACUGCCUCCGGGUGGCCCGCGGGGGCGUCAGGGACCCAGGUGUUUAGGCCGUCACUUGCUGCCUCCAGGUGCACUUGCAGGAAGCUGGUCUGAAGAGGAGGGCGAGGCCCCCACCCCAGGCGCCCCCACCCCAGGCGCCCCCACUCAGGGGUGCACAGGAGGCCUGAAAACCUUAUUUCAACAUUCGUUUCUUUCUUUCUUUUUUUUUUUUUUUUUAAGAUUUAUUUAUUUAUUUGAAAGUCAGAGUAACACAGAGAGAGGAGAGGCAGAGAGAGAGAGAGGUCUUCCAUCUGCUGGUUCACUCCCCAGAUGGCUGCAAUGGCCAGAGCUGCCCCGAUCAGGAGCCAGGAGCUUCCUCCCACACAGGUGCAGGGGCCCAAGGACUGGGGCCAUCUUCUGCUGCUUUCCCGGGCCACAGCAGAGAGCUGGAUGGAAAGUGGAGCAGCCGGGACUCGAACCAGCACCCAUGUGGGAUGCCGGUGCUUCAGGCCAGGGCGUUAACCUGCUGUGUUACAGCGCCGGCCCGUUUCUCUUGUUUUAAUCCCUGAAGUGCAGUGGGCUUGCCAGUGCCGCCUCGCAGGUCCUGGGUGGGGAGUGUCCCGCGCAGCCUGUCCGAGCGUCCGAGCGUCUGUCCGAGCGUCUGUCUGAGCGUCUCGUGCACGCGCCCUGGGGGGAGGGGCAGCUGUGUGCGCACUUUGGCUCUUUCUUUUUCCCUUUUUUUUUUUUUGUCUUUGUUCUUCGAUAGGCAGAGUGGACAGUGAGAGAGAGAGGACAGAGAGAGAAAGGUCUUCCUUUGCCGUUGGUUCACCCCUCCAAUGGCCGCCGCUGCAGCCGGCGCCACCGGCGCUGAUCCUUGGCAGGAGCCAGGGAGCCAAGGUGCUUUUCCUGGUCUCCCAUGGGGGGUGCAGG